rnacentral:lncRNA from 1 species
UCCCGAUGCCUUUGAUCGCACAGCUCAAUCCAUCCGGCAGAUAAAUAGUGCCCUCACUGUUCUCUAGGGAGUCAAACUGCUCCUCUCUGCAAUAUACAUGAUAGGUACAUACAGAAUCUAAUAUCUACUGUUGGGAAGAAGUAAAUAUCUCAUCAGAUAUCUUCAAGACAUCUCCCUCUGAAUCACUACUGGCCGUCACCACAGC